GUUUUAUCUUCCAUAGUGUUUAAUUUCUAUAUGAAACUGCUGUGAGAAGUUGUCCAACAGUGAAGAUAAUGAUGAUGAUGAUGGUGAUGAUGAUGAUUGUGAUGACGAUGAUGAGAUCACUCAGAGAAUUGUGUUGGGAUCUUACGGCACACAAAUGGUACCUAUAAUACCUGCCUGAACAGUGCAGUGUAAAACCGUGAAGACCAAUAAGCUUAAGCCCAGGUCCAGCAAGGCAUAUAUAAAGGGGGCGCAUGCCUGGCCUCAGGCUCAAACAAGGAUCCCUGCCUCUGGACUGUGGACACAAGCACUAAAGGCUCAAUGAAUUGAGGGGGUCAAGACAGAGCAACCACCAUAACACCCUCAUCUUCUGGGGUGGUUCAGUUGGAGAAGACUUUAGGUCCUUGUUUCAACCUUCUUCUUCUACCUUCAUCAGAAGAGAGUAAAAAGAAACCAAGAAACAGAGAUGAGAAAGUGAACACACAUCUUCGGAUUUCAAUAACAUGCAAAACUAAGUUAACGUAAGGAAACCAUUAAUGUUGGGACAAGAGAAAUAAAAUGCCUGUGUGGUCAGUUUGCGUCAUACAUUGGAACUGAAUUGAUCUUACUAAAUGUGUGGUAUAAAUACAACCAACACUCCCUGUUCUGGCCUUCAUCACUAGAGAUGGUACGACAUUGCCAGGAUUUAGCAACUUUG